rnacentral:rRNA from 1 species
ACGGGUGAGGAACACGUACACAACUUCCCUCUUGCUGGGGCACAACUCCGAGAAAUCGGGGCUAAUUCCCCAUAAAAAUUUGAUCCGGCAUCGGGAAAAAUUUAAAACUCAGGUGGUAAGAGAUGGGUGUGCGUCUGAUUAGCUAGUUGGUGAGGUAACGGCCCACCAAGGCGACGAUCAGUAACUGGUGUGAGAGCACGACCAGUCACACGGGCACUGAGAUACGGGCCCG